UGCAUCUUCCGACCGGCGAUCAGUAAGUGCACCAUAGUAAAUGGAAUAACCUUCAAAAUCUGCAACUUAAAUAUUCCCAGUAAUGUCCGCUUACAAGGAGCCCCUGGUUGGAUGGGUGGA
rnacentral:pre_miRNA from 12 species